CCUACGGGAGGCAGCAGUGAGGAAUAUUGGUCAAUGGACGCAAGUCUGAACCAGCCAAGCCGCGUGAAGGAAGACGGCCCUAUGAGUUGUAAACUUCUUUUGUACGGGGGUAAACGCAGACACGCGUACCUGUCUGAAAGUACCUUACGAAUAAGGAUCGGCUAACUCCGUGCCAGCAGCCGCGGUAAUACGGAGGAUCCGAGCGUUAUCCGGAUUUAUUGGGUUUAAAGGGUGCGUAGGCGGGUGGUUAAGUCAGGGGUGAAAUCCCGAGGCUCAACCUCGGAAUUGCAUUUGAUACUGUUAGGCUAGAGUAUAGUUGAGGUAGGCGGAAUGUGUGGUGUAGCGGUGAAAUGCUUAGAGAUCACGCAGAACUCCGAUUGCGAAGGCAGCUUAC
rnacentral:rRNA from 1 species